rnacentral:sRNA from 1 species
UCAUCCAACCUAACCGUCCCUCCAUCGUUCUUCUCAAUAACUUCAACCUCCUUUACCACAAUGACAA